GGGGGAAUAGCUCAGUCUGGGAGAGCAUCAGACUUGAAGAUUUUGAAGGUCACGUGUUUGAUCCACGUUUACCGUA
rnacentral:tRNA from 1 species